AUGGGUCAUAAGAGUCCUCUGCUGGCUAUGGCUCAGGUGACUUGAGGGCAGUUUGCUGGGGAGAGUUCAGCAAACCACUGAGAGAAAUCUACUAGAAACAGUCUGACAAUAAAUUAAGGGAAAAUUCAAUGGCAACAUUCCAAAAGCUAUAAAAGCAACCCGCUAAAAAUUAGAGGCUUGCAUGGAUCCAUAAGGAGAAUUCUUGGCAGUCUGUGUGAGUGCACUUGCAAGUGGGAGAAGGGCAGAAAGAGGAAGACAGAGGAUCCAAAGCUGGCUCCAUGCUGACAGCAGAGAGCUUGAUGUGGGGCUGGAACUCACAGAAUUGCAAGAUCUGAGCCGAAUCCUGAUGCUUAACUGACUGAGUCACCCUGGCGCCCCAACCUAUACUUUUUGUUCUGUUUCUUUCAUUCUGUCUUUCUUACUCAGGGGUGCUGCAAGAACUGAACAUUUCAUUGGAUCUGGGAGCAGAAUGGCUUGCACCUUGCUUCUUGAAAGAAACCAAUGAUGAUGAUGGCAAGACCCUGGGGAUGAAAUGCUUUCAUGGUGUGUCUAGUGAAUGAAAUAAGAAGGAAUUUGUUCUCCGCGGGGGAAAACACCUCAGCUGAAAAAGACAAGACACUAACAGAAGUAUAAAAUCUUCAAAGCUUCUCUUCACAAUAUGACAGAACAUGAUCGGUUUGUGAUGGUCAAGGUGUUCCGUAAAGAUCGAUUUUCCAUUGCCGUUGUCAUGUGGGCAAUCAGCAAAGCAAGAACGAAUGAAUGAGUAAGAUGCCUUCGAGUCAAUUUACAGUAUCCUGAGCAAUCCCAGUAAUAACCAUAGAGGUCAUAAAAUAAGAGAAGCAGGAAAGAUUAUCUACAAAUCUUUAGCUGAAAGGCAACUAUUUUCUUAUUCAUUUUGUUAAAUGAUGUACUUUGGUAUUUGUUUCUCGUAAUUAAACAGCAAAUGCUGUAUUUUA